CCCAUAAGUCCAUUUAGUCAUUUUUCACGGUUUUAAGUCUUAUUACCUAGGGUUUUCUACUUUUCCUUCCAGCCUCCAUCUUCUCUAAUUCUCACUGACUUUCCUCAUCCUCUCUUUUCUCAUUAUUUCUCAUUCUCUGAUUUCUCUCCUCAAAUCUCAUCCUUCUUGAGUUCCUGAUUCUCUCGAAGUCUCGAUCUUCUCUGAAUCACUGCCUUCUUUGGGAAUUUGUGCUUCCUUGUUGGCUGCUGGCUCUUUGCUUUGCUGUCUGCUGUAUGCUGCCUUUCUGCGUUGCUGUCCGCUGCCUAUCUGUCUGCUGCCUUGCUGCCCUGCUUGCUUAGAUGGUUGCUGCUGGUCUUAUUGCUGGCUGAUGGUGUGCUCAAUUGCUGCUGCUGCCCUUCCUUUUCUUCCCCUUUUCUGUCUGAACUUUUAUUUAAGUACUUGUUGUUUUGAUUAUGUUUGGCUGUUUGCAGCAUUGUUGUACAAUACUGAUAUUUUAGGUUGUUGAAUUGGUACUUUAAUUGGCUUAUUAGUUUGUAAUAUUUGUAUUUUGAAAUAUUUGUAUUUUGCUAGCCUGCAAAACUAAUUUAGGGAUAUUAAUAUAACUAGCCUGCGAAAUUCCAUUAUA